rnacentral:rRNA from 1 species
CGGAGGGGGCGAGCGUUAUUCGGAAUUAUUGGGCGUAAAGGGCGCGUAGGCGGCUUGAUGUGUCAAAGGUGAAAUCCCUCGGCUCAACUGAGGAACUGCCUUUGAAACUGUCUGGCUUGAGGCCGGGAGAGGGUAGCGGAAUUCCCAGUGUGGCGGUGAAAUGCGUAGAUACUGGGAGGAACACCGGUGGCGAAGGCGGCUACCUGGACCGGUACUGACGCUGAUGCGCGAAAGCGUGGGUAGCAAACAGGAUUAGAUACCCUGGUAGUCCACGCUGUAAACGAUGGGUGCUCGGUGUCGCGGGUAUCGACCCCUGCGGUGCCUUAGCUAACGCGUUAAGCACCCCGCCUGGGGAGUACGGUCGCAAGGCUG